GAUGAACGCUGGCGGCGUGCCUAAUACAUGCAAGUCGAGCGAAGCGGGGACGGGUGAGUAACACGUGGAUAACCUCCUAUAAGACUGGGAUAACUCCGGGAAACCCGAGCUAAACAGGAUACGUAUAGAUGGAUCCGAGUUGCAUUAUCUAGUUGGUAAGGUAACGGCUUACCAAGGCAACGAUGCAUAGCCGCCCUGAGAGGUUGAUCGGCCACACUGGAACGGGGACACGGUCCAGACUCCUACGGAAGGCGCCAGUGGGAAAUCUCCCGCAAUGGGCGAAAGCCUUCGGGGGCAACGCCGCGUGAGGGAGGAAGGUCUUCGGAUCGUAAACCUCUGUUAUUAGGGAGGCGGUACCUAAUCAGAAAGCCACGGCUAACUACGUGCCAGCAGCCGCGGUAAUAC
rnacentral:rRNA from 1 species